UGAACCAUCUUGAUGUGGGUGCUGAGUGC
rnacentral:piRNA from 1 species